UACCCUGGGUUCCGGGCAGGGGUGGAACUGGAUUCUGCCUGGAUGGGGAUCGGAUGGGGGUGGAGGUUUGAUUUGGGAAGCAGAGCACAGCAGCCCAAAUUUGUUGUAAUGGCGGCGGCUACAGGUACCCUUGUGACUAUGAAGAUUGACAAAAAGUUGACGGCAACGAUGAAUUCUCUUCCAGAACUUACAUCCCAGAAGGCCCUCCCCUACUUCGGGUCUCCCUAGAGAGUGGAGAGACCUGCUGCCCUUGAAGAAGCAAACAGCCAUGUUGUGAGCUGCCUAAGCCUCUAGGUCUUGAGGGAAGCUUACAGUUAAGAGCCAGCAAAAGCCAGGGCCCUCAGUCAUGCCACACAAGGAAACGAAUCCUGCCAGCAACUAUGGGGGCUUGGAAGAGGAUAUUAAGCUUCAGUUGAGAAUGCAGCCUGACUGACACCAUCAUUGCAGCCUUGUGAGACCCCAAUCAGAGGACCCAGCUGAGCUGUACCCAGACUCCUAACCCACGGAAACUGAGAAAAUAAAUGUGUGCUAUUUAUAGCUG
rnacentral:lncRNA from 1 species